UACGGGGGGAGCAAGCGUUGUUCGGAUUUAUUGGGCGUAAAGAGCGUGUAGGCGGCCCGGUAAGUCCGCUGUGAAAGUCAAAGGCUCAACCUUUGAAUGUCAGCGGAUACUGCCGGGCUAGAGUCCGGAAGAGGCGAGUGGAAUUCCUGGUGUAGCGGUGGAAUGCGCAGAUAUCAGGAGGAACACCAACGGCGAAGGCAGCUCGCUAGGACGGUACUGACGCUGAGACGCGAAAGCGUGGGGAGCAAACAGG
rnacentral:rRNA from 1 species